rnacentral:rRNA from 1 species
CCUACGGGUGACAGCAGUGAGGAAUAUUGGUCAAUGGACGAGAGUCUGAACCAGCCAAGUAGCGUGAAGGAUGACUGCCCUAUGGGUUGUAAACUUCUUUUAUAUGGGAAUAAAACGUUCCACGUGUGGGAUUUUGUAUGUACCAUAUGAAUAAGGAUCGGCUAACUCCGUGCCAGCAGCCGCGGUAAUACGGAGGAUCCGAGCGUUAUCCGGAUUUAUUGGGUUUAAAGGGAGCGUAGGUGGAUUGUUAAGUCAGUUGUGAAAGUUUGCGGCUCAACCGUAAAAUUGCAGUUGAAACUGGCAGUCUUGAGUACAGUAGAGGUGGGCGGAAUGCGUGGUGUAGCGGUGAAAUGCUUAGAUAUCACGAAGAACUCCGAUUGCGAAGGCAGUUCACUGGACUGCAACUGACACUGAGGCUCGAAAGUGUGGGUAUCAAACAGGAUUAGAUACCCUGGUAGUC